CCUACGGGUGGCAGCAGUGAGGAAUAUUGGUCAAUGGACGAGAGCCUGAACCAGCCAAGUAGCGUGAAGGAUGACUGCCCUAUGGGUUGUAAACUUCUUUUAUAUGGGAAUAAAAUGUUCCACGUGUGGGAUUUUGUAUGUACCAUAUGAAUAAGGAUCGGCUAACUCCGUGCCAGCAGCCGCGGUAAUACGGAGGAUCCGAGCGUUAUCCGGUUUUAUUGGGUUUAAAGGGAGCGUAGGUGGGUUGUUAAGUCAGUUGUGAAAGUUUGCGGCUCAACUUUAAAAUUGCAGUUGAAACUGGCAGUCUUGAGUACAGGAGAGGUGGGCGGAAUUCGUGGUGUAGCGGUGAAAUGCUUAGAUAUCACGAAGAACUCCGAUUGCGAAGGCAGCUCACUGGACUGCAACUGACACUGAGGCUCGAAAGUGUGGGUAUCAAACAGGAUUAGAUACCCGUGUAGUC
rnacentral:rRNA from 1 species